GGGCAUUUAGCUCAGCGGUAGAGCGCUUCGUUCACAUCGAAGAGGCGACAGGUUCGACACCUGUAAUGCCCACAA
rnacentral:tRNA from 1 species